AUAGUAUUCGGAUCGUUCGUAUAUCGAGCAAUUUCACCCGCUUGGUGCAAAGUCUUCCCUUUACCAU
rnacentral:pre_miRNA from 1 species